AGAGUUUGAUCCUGGCUCAGAUUGAACGCUGGCGGCAUGCCUAACACAUGCAAGUCGAACGGCAGCAUAUCCUGCUUGCAGGAUGAUGGCGAGUGGCGGACGGGUGAGUAAUAUAUAGGGAUCUGCCUAUUAGUGGGGGACAACGUGUGGAAACGCACGCUAAUACCGCAUACGCUCUACGGAGGAAAGUGGGGGACCUUUCUUAGGCCUCAUGCUAAUAGAUGAACCUAUAUUGGAUUAGCUAGUUGGUAAGGUAAUGGCUUACCAAGGCGACGAUCCAUAGCUGGUUUGAGAGAAUGAUCAGCCACACUGGGACUGAGACACGGCCCAGACUCCUACGGGAGGCAGCAGUGGGGAAUAUUGCACAAUGGAGGAAACUCUGAUGCAGCAAUGCCGCGUGUGUGAAGAAGGCCUUCGGGUUGUAAAGCACUUUCAACAGUGAGGAAAAGCGAUGUAUUAAUAGUGCAUCGCCGUGACGUUAACUGUAGAAGAAGCACCGGCUAACUCCGUGCCAGCAGCCGCGGUAAUACGGAGGGUGCAAGCGUUAAUCGGAAUUACUGGGCGUAAAGCGCGCGUAGGCGGAUAUUUAAGUCAGAUGUGAAAUCCCCGGGCUCAACCUGGGAACUGCAUUUGAUACUGGAUAUCUCGAGUAUGGUAGAGGUGAGUGGAAUUUCAGGUGUAGCGGUGAAAUGCGUAGAGAUCUGAAGGAACAUCAGUGGCGAAGGCGACUCACUGGGCCAUUACUGACGCUGAGGUGCGAAAGCGUGAGUAGCAAACAGGAUUAGAUACCCUGGUAGUCCACGCCCUAAACGAUGUCAACUAGGUGUGUGGGAAUUUAAUUUCUGCGUAUCGAAGCUAACGCGAUAAGUUGACCGCCUGGGGAGUACGGCCGCAAGGCUAAAACUCAAAUGAAUUGACGGGGGCCCGCACGAGCGGUGGAGCAUGUGGUUUAAUUCGAUGCAACGCGAAGAACCUUACCUGGCCUUGACAUGUACGGAAUUUUCUAGAGAUAGAUUAGUGCCUUCGGGAACCGUAACACAGGUGCUGCAUGGCUGUCGUCAGCUCGUGUC
rnacentral:rRNA from 1 species